rnacentral:rRNA from 1 species
UACGUAGGGUGCAAGCGUUGUUCGGAAUCAUUGGGCGUAAAGCGCGUGUAGGUGGCUAGUUAAGUUGGAUGUGAAAUCCCUGGGCUCAACCGAGGAAGUGCAUUCAAAACUGGCUGGCUAGAGGAUGGUAGAGGAAGGUGGAAUUCCAAGUGUAGAGGUGAAAUUCGUAGAUAUUUGGAGGAAUACCGGCGGCGAAGGCGGCCUUCUGGGCCAUUCUUGACACUGAGACGCGAAAGCGUGGGGAGCAAACAGG